UAGCGUUCGAUGAUGGCCUCCAUCUCGUCGGCCUUGUCGGGGUCGGCGAGGUCGGCCUCGAUCUCCUUCAGCUCGGCCCCGACCACGCUGACC
rnacentral:tRNA from 1 species